GGAGCGGUAGUUCAGUUGGUUAGAAUACCUGGGUUCGAGCCCCGUCCGUUCCGCCA
rnacentral:tRNA from 1 species